ACACCAGAAUUGCCUAGCUACAGGGCGCCGCCAUUGUGGACACCCAAAGUUGUGCGGAGAAGAAAAGUUGACAGGAGAUCUGAUUGGUCAUUAACAGAAAAUCUUUGUGAUGGAAUUUAAUAGUGAAAUAUAAGUGAUAAAAAUGACAGGUGACAUAACAGAAUAUGUAGAAAGAUACAGAAGUUAUAAGGGAAGAUCUGAGUGGAGAGGUGAUAUUUGGAUGGACAAUUUCAUUCAGUGCGGAUCUACACUAGUUGUUAACAGGCCAAAAUUUGAAGGAAAAACGCAACGGCAAGCCAUAUAUUUUUUGGUGGAAUUUUGAAGGGGAGAUGAUGAACUUUGCUGAAUGGUGACUGAUUUUUUGAAAAUUGGCUUAAUAAAUAAUUGACAGUGAUUGGAAUUUGUAUGGAAGUCUAUGGGAAAACAUUUGGUGGUGUUUGUCCUAUACUGAGGUAGCGAGAACCAGUUUAUGAGGGGUCUUGGCCGAAGCAGUCGGUGGCACCCAGGCCUGAGCAUCAUUUCCUGCUCCUCGCACAGAGAGGGUGGAUGCGUCACCAGUUGUAGGGUUUCCCUGUCAACUCUCGUGAAUGGUGCAGAGAAGACUCGGCUGGAGGUGGGGUGUUGGUUGACAUGAGGAUUUUACGAAGAGAAGAACUGCCAAUGGGGGUUUGACUGAGACCUAUUUGUAGGCCAUAGUUUAUUGCUGCUGCUUUCCUUCCCCUGGAACCGGAUUCUACUUCGACAUAGAGGCUAUACAUUUUGGACACGUAGGUGCAGGUGUUACAUUUAAGCCGUAACCUAGUGCCCAGGUCACGCCUCUCUUCAGAGUCCAAGUCCCAGGUUACGUCACCAUCACAGCCUGGAUUGGCCCGCCCAUGUUCUUUGAACUCUGCGUUGAACAUGCCACAUGUCUUUUCCAGAUGCAGCAGUCUGUAGGAGUCAUUUUCACACCUGCCGAAAUCAGUUAUGUACCUGAUUACUUCCUAACCAGGCAAGUUCAUUUUCAGAAAUUAGAGUUACUUCCCUUUGACUAUACUUGUUCUCAAAGUUGAGUCAAGAGGCUCAUCACAGUCCCUAACAACUGUUUUUUGUAACUUUCUCUUCGUAUGAAUGAACAAUUAUUGUAAUGUUGCUAUAAUUUAGAGAGUUUAUUAAUUAUAAAAUUAAUUAAGCUAAUUAAAUUUACAGGAUCUUAGGGAUACCCCUUAUUUCAGCCAAUUUGGCCAUAUGUGGGCCUAUUCUGAGAAUUAGAAAAAAUAUUUUCUACUCAAAGAGGUUUUGUUUCAUAAUUUAAGAAAGUUAGAAGAAUUGUAAUCGUUACCCUGAGGAUUCAGCCUGAUUUAAAGUCUCAUGGUUUCCUUCCUUUUUCAGGGGUCUUGGCCGAAGCAGUCGGUGGCACCCAGGCCUGAGCAUCAUUUCCUGCUCCUCGCACAGAGAGGGUGGAUGCGUCACCAGUUGUAGGGUUUCCCUGUCAACUCUCGUGAAUGGUGCAGGAAAAACACCAGAAUUGCCUAGCUACAGGGCGCCGCCAUUGUGGACACCCAAAGUUGUGCGGAGAAGAAAAGUUGACAGGAGAUCUGAUUGGUCAUUAACAGAAAAUCUUUGUGAUGGAAUUUAAUAGUGAAAUAUAAGUGAUAAAAAUGACAGGUGACAUAACAGAAUAUGUAGAAA